GCUCCCAUGGCGCAGUGGUCACUGCACUCGCCUUGCACGCGGGAGACCCGCGUUCGAUUCCCGGCGGGGUCA
rfam:Asian citrus Psyllid, Diaphorina citri - Florida Strain, whole genome shotgun sequence.